rnacentral:rRNA from 1 species
UACGUAGGGUGCAAGCGUUGUCCGGAAUUAUUGGGCGUAAAGAGCUCGUAGGCGGUUUGUCGCGUCGAAUGUGAAAACCCGGGGCUCAACCCCGGGCCUGCAUUCGGUACGGGCAGACUAGAGUUCGGUAGGGGAGUCUGGAAUUCCUGGUGUAGCGGUGAAAUGCGCAGAUAUCAGGAGGAACACCGGUGGCGAAGGCGGGACUCUGGGCCGAUACUGACGCUGAGGAGCGAAAGCGUGGGGAGCAAACAGG